CCAAGUCAGCUGGGACAGAGAUGCCAACACAAAGGCCUAAUGGAAGGAAUAUGUUUGCUUCUAAUUUAGAAUAAGAAAAACUGCACGCACAGAUCAAACCCAUGGAAACUUCAACUGAGGGACUUUCAGAUCCACACUCUGGGCUGUGAGUGUCACAGGACCUAAACUGGGUUGAAGGAAGUGGCUCUCCGAUUACAGUAUUUCCAUCUGCAACAACGAGUAUUGUUUCUGAGGACCUGUCCGCCUCCCC